rnacentral:rRNA from 1 species
UGUCGUCAGCUCGUGUUGUGAAAUGUUGGGUUAAGUCCCGCAACGAGCGCAACCCUUAUCCUUUGUUGCCAGCGGUCCGGCCGGGAACUCAAAGGAGACUGCCAGUGAUAAACUGGAGGAAGGUGGGGAUGACGUCAAGUCAUCAUGGCCCUUACGACCAGGGCUACACACGUGCUACAAUGGCGCAUACAAAGAGAAGCGACCUCGCGAGAGCAAGCGGACCUCAUAAAGUGCGUCGUAGUCCGGAUUGGAGUCUGCAACUCGACUCCAUGAAGUCGGAAUCGCUAGUAAUCGUGGAUCAGAAUGCCACGGUGAAUACGUUCCCGGGCCUUGUACACACCGCCCGUCACACCAUGGGAGUGGGUUGCAAAAGAAGUAGGUAGCUUAACCUUCGGGAGGGCGCUUACCACUUUGUGAUUCAUGACUGGGGUGAAGUCGUAACAAGGUAACCGUAGGGGAACCUGCGGUUGGAU